GGACGAACGCUGGCGGCGUGCUUACCACAUGCAAGUCGAACGGAAAGGCCUGCUUUCCCUUGUGGAUUGCGGGUACUCGAGUGGCGAACGGGUGAGUAACACGUGAGUGAUCUGCCCCCAACUUGGGUAUAAGCCUGGGAAACUGGGUCUAAUUCCCGAUAGGACUGCAGGGUGGUGCCUGUGGUGGAAAAUGAUUUUCUAGUGGUUGGGGAUGAGCUCGCGGCCUAUCAGCUUGUUGGUGGGGUAAUGGCCUACCAAGGCGGCGACGGGUAGCCGGCCUGAGAGGGUGGACGGCCACAUUGGGACUGAGAUACGGCCCAGACUCCUACGGGAGGCAGCAGUGGGGAAUAUUGCACAAUGGGCGGAAGCCUGAUGCAGCGACGCCGCGUGGGGGAUGACGGCCUUCGGGUUGUAAACUCCUUUCGACCGCGAGGAAGCCACCUGGUUGGAAGGGUGGUGACGGUAGUGGUAGAAGAAGCACCGGCUAACUACGUG
rnacentral:rRNA from 1 species